UACGUAGGGGGCAAGCGUUGUCCGGAUUUAUUGGGCGUAAAGAGCGUGUAGGCGGUUUGGUAAGUCUGAUGUGAAAUCUAUGGGCUCAACUCAUAGUCUGCAUCGGAAACUGCCGGGCUUGAGUAUGGGAGAGGUGAGUGGAAUUCCUGGUGUAGCGGUGAAAUGCGUAGAUAUCAGGAGGAACACCUGUGGCGAAAGCGGCUCACUGGACCAUAACUGACGCUGAUGCACGAAAGCUAGGGGAGCAAACAGG
rnacentral:rRNA from 1 species